GACGUAGGGGGCGAGCGUUGUCCGGAUUUAUUGGGCGUAAAGAGCUCGUAGGCGGCCUCGUAAGUCGGAUGUGAAAUCUCCAGGCUCAACCUGGAGAGGCCAUCCGAUACUGCGAUGGCUAGAGUCCGGUAGGGGAGUGCGGAAUUCCCGGUGUAGCGGUGAAAUGCAUAGAUAUCGGGAGGAACACCAGUAGCGAAGGCGGCACUCUGGGCCGGAACUGACGCUGAGGAGCGAAAGCGUGGGGAGCAAACAGGAUUAGAAACCCUCGUAGUCC
rnacentral:rRNA from 1 species